CCACGGUGACAUUUGGGCCUCUCCCACUGGAACCCCUCAACACUUCUGUGGGAUGUCACUUGCCAGCUGGCAGGGCAAAAGGUAGCUCCCUGCAGAACUGGCUGCGAGCACAAACCACAGUCAGACUGAGACAGUAGACGUUGAAAGCGAGCUGUCUGCAGUAGGAACUUCUGUUUCUGAUCCAGAGGGUCCGGCUGCAUCCCCAGGCUUUCCUUCUCAUCUUCCGGGCCAGGAUAAAGGAACAGCUUGGGCAUCAAAAAUGGAUGAAAAGGAUGUACUAACUCAUCCUGAUGAGGAGGAAAUCAAAUGCAUACCUCAUGCUUCUUAGGAGGAGAGCACACACAGAGACACUACUAUCUCUGCAGCCCUCACUUUUCCUGCAAAACUCUGGGUACUGCUUGAAAGUCACCAAUUUAAGAACAUUUGGUGGGGCCAGAAUGGAAGCUGCAUUGUAACUGAUGAAGAAAUGUUUCAGAUCGAAGUACUGUAAAAGAAUGGAUCUUUGAGAGUCUUUGGGAAAGAAAGCAUGAAAAGCUUUAUUCGCCAGCUUAAAGUGUACAGAUUCACAAAAAGGCAGCAUGACUUCAAAACAUCUCCCUUGCUUCCCGAGUUUCUGGCAGAGGAAGAGGUGUUUGCAGCUCACAGGAAGGUACAUUCGUUGCUCCACACACGAACCAACUCUCAUAAUUUUCUAGUGGAAGAGACGGAGGGCCCAAUAAAAUAAGCCUUGGUAAUAGAGGAGAUGAGGAUGACAGUAAAUGUUCUGAUCCUAAUUUCCUCCUCUGGCUGUUUGCAGGAAUUUUAGUGGUAGCAUUGCUGAGGACUAGAAAUGUGGGUAAAAUACAUUUGGGUUUUAUCCACUGAGUCUGAACCCAGGGAAUGGAAAGAUAAAUAAAAUGAGGGUAUGAUGAGUCUAUUUAUUUCAAUGUAUCUUGCUUUGGCCAACCCAAGCUGUAAAUUUAAACUGACCAAUAGACAUUUUAAUACCCAUGUUUGUCUUUCGCAAGUACAAGUUUAAGUUUUGGUACCUUGCUGUCUUUCAGUCCCAAACUGAUCACAACUCUUCUCCUUUGCAUUUUCAGUUACUUUGCUACUACAGCCCACACUUCAGGAAAGAUCACCCAGAGCUGCUGGAACACUGCAAGCACAGAGUUGCCCAAAAGAGAAGAGCUGUGGCUGCCCCUACCCCACAGGAAGAGCUGAACGAGGGCCCCCUGAGGAGCAGCCCAGAUGCCCAACCCAUGGAGGGAACAACUGCUGGGCCAGACAAGAGCCUGCUGCCAGCAGACCCACAAGUGAGCACACAGACAGUGGCAUCCAUGGGGCCUCCACCACCCAAGCAACCCAAGAAAGCCAAAGACCAAGACCAAGCCCAAGCAGGCAGUGCUCCAACUCCUCCAGACCCUGCUGCUGCACCAGGGAGGGAAGAGUGCCAGCCUCUGGCCCCCUCCCCGCUGCCACCGAGCAGCAGUCAAACCUUGGGUGCCGCUUCAGCUCCUUCAGCUUACAACACUCUGCCCUUCAUGGCACCCACUUUUACACCUGGCUCAAUGUGGCAGGCAUUACCCCAGCCCCCACAAGAAUCAGAGCUGCAGGAUCCUGGGGCUGCCCUGCAUUACCUCAGCCAAUGCUUUGCCAUGGCCACGUUGGCAGCAGCCAAGAUGACAUUGCCUACCUGGGGUCCCCGGGCAGCCUCACAUUGCCCAACAUGCACCUGCAGCUCCCACAGAGCAGCCCCACAUUGUCCAACAUGCACGUGUGGCUUAGACAAAGCAGCCCCACAUUGCUCCAAAUGCACCUGCAGCUCUGAUGGAGUAGAUGCAGGAGGGCGGCCAGCACUCUAGCACGGAAGCCACUGCACAUAGCAGGGACAGCAGCACCCAUUUAUAGCUGCAAAGUAGAAGUCAGUUUCAACGCAGUUUCUACUACUGAUGUUUUAAUAAGCAUUAACAACAGUAUUACUGUGAAACCUUUUAUGCCUCAAGCAGUUCUUCUUAAUGCCAUGACUUGUGACUCCAUGCACAGUGUACUUACAGAAUGUGUUCAGCUUAUAACACAGUCCACAGAGAGAAUUCAUUUCUCAUCUGAAAGAUGAGCAUUGGAACUGCUUCUAAAAUAAGCUGAAUGAAGAGAGAAUGGAUACGAAAAACUGCAGUACUAUCCUAAAUCUUAAGUUAAAUCCACGCAUUCACAGAACGGUGAAGAAACAUCAUCUAAUUGAAGUUGUUACUCUAAGAGGUGAUGGAAGCAAGUGGCACGCUAAAUUCCCUAUCACAUUAUAAAACAUUAUUAGGUGGUGUGGACAGGGGUUGCUUCUUCCAGUGACAGCUAGAAGUUAAAGCACGUACAAAACUUCUAUUUCCUACAUUUCAAAAGUUUUUUUGGUUAAACUUCAAGCACCAGAAGUAACAAAACAAGUAAUCCAAAUGACUUUCUGUAUCUUGUAAAUGGAAAUGCAAUUUUAAUCUGUAAACAUACAGAAAUUAAAUUAUAAUCUAAGUAUUUCAAAACUGCAAAUGUAUGCAUAUAUGAUUACAUGCACAGAAUUGUAAGUGCUGUUAUGCUCAAAAUAGGUGCACUCUUAAAAAACCUUCUUUUCAUAACUGUAUUUUACAUUAAGAUCUUGUAAGAAAGACCGUAGCUGUAACCAUAUGAAGAUGACCUACGUCAGCAUUUACAAACUCAUCUAACAAUUACAGAACAGUUGAGUUGAUAUAUGCAAUAGAGUAUCAGCUACUAAGUGUACCUCAUGAAAGAUGCAGAAACAGUAAAUACAUUUCAAACAUUACUUUAAGAGACACUGCAAACCCAACAACUUACUGCAUGGACAGAACACUUUUUUAAGAUUCUACAAGCAGUGCUACAAAGUAAAUAACAGCAUGCAGAUAACAUCAGGAUCUUUUAAACAUGGACACCCACUAAAAAAAACUACACCUACACAACACUGUAUAUAGCAUUUGUGAGUAACUGAUCAACAGAUUGUUUAAAGAGAUUAUACAUUUGCUGGAUAAACAUACUUCCAAUUAGCGAAGCACCAAUUACUUUUAUCACUAGAAGUGGUAACAAGGAAACAACAUGGUCAUAGAUCUUAAUCAUGUACGUUUAGUGUUCUACAUGCAAUGCUUGAGAUCCUUUUGAUACAAGCACUACAAAAGUACUCUGCAAACGAGGACAAGUAUAGGUACAGGGCUCAAAUAAAUGCACUUCACAAUCACUUACUCUGUCUUCAGUAGGAGCUACGAAAAUCUAGCCAUUCUGAGAAAUCUUUUUUUCUGAAGUCAUAAAGCAAGACCAGUAUCAACUUAACUUGCCCACAAGGUGAAGGAUAGCUCUGAUCAGGCUCCUAAUAUGAGUCAUUUAGUCAACAGAGAGGUCAGUAUUUUCAAAGAGAGAUUCACCCAGUUUGGAG